rnacentral:tRNA from 1 species
AGCUUUAUAUUCAUUAUAAUGAUUUCAGAAUGCAAUUCUGUAGGAGUAAUUCAUCAUUACUAAGGCUU